CAUUAAACUACUGCAAUAGUAAAGAAACGAAGUUCAAUAAAAUGACAAAGAAUUCAUGUACACAACCAAUCCUUAGAACUUUUAAGGAUAUUCUACUUGUAACUGUGACAAAAUUGCCUCUAUGUUGGAGCUCACCACAACAUUAGUCAAAUAACAAAAAACAGGAAAGUAAAAAACAAAAGUUCAUGUGUUCAAUGCAUCAAUGACUUUCCUCAUCAAAGCUCAACAUCACAUCUGUGGAUCACCAUCUUCAGCUGCUUCAGAAGAUCCAUUUUCUGUUUUCUCGGCACUACAAAAUAGAAAGUAAAAAGGAUUUUAUUGACUGCAGAGACAUUUUCAAGAAUAAAAAUUACACAACUAAAGCAUGCUUUCAUGGUCAUUGACAAUAAUCAAAAUUGCAUCAAGUUCUCAAAGCCUUGCUAAACACUAACUCAAGUCAAUAGAGGAAUAGAGAAGACGGAGGAGGUUGAUACUCCCAAAUCACCUAUUGUGUCUAGAAUUCCUUUUUCGCUCAUAUUAGUUCAGCAUCAACAAGGAAAAAUGUAUUCCACUAGACAGAUGCCCAAAAGAUCAAAUAAAUAACCAAAAUUGCAUGUUAAGAAAUAAAAUACUAAUCUUAAGUGAACACAAAAAAACAACUCACAGAAAAUAAUCAAAGUUCCACCCCUAACCAGCACACGUAAGCAAAUAUAGCAGGAUUGCUACUUUUUCUAUAGUACAAAUCAAUUUUAGGUUAG
rnacentral:lncRNA from 1 species